UGAGGAAUAUUGGUCAAUGGGCGCGAGCCUGAACCAGCCAAGUAGCGUGAAGGAUGAAGGUCCUAUGGAUUGUAAACUUCUUUUAUAGCAGAAUAAAGUGACCCACGUGUGGGUUUUUGUAUGUAUGCUAUGAAUAAGGAUCGGCUAACUCCGUGCCAGCAGCCGCGGUAAUACGGAGGAUCCGAGCGUUAUCCGGAUUUAUCGGGUUUAAAGGGUGCGUAGGCGGAAAGAUAAGUCAGCCUGUGAAAGUUUGCGGCUCAACCGUAAAAUUGCAGUUGAUACUGUUUUUCUUGAGUGUACAUAAGGUAGGCGGAAUUCGUGGUGUAGCGGUGAAAUGCUUAGAUAUCACGAAGAACUCCGAUUGCGAAGGCAGCUUACCGGGGUACAACUGACGCUGAUGCACGAAAGUGUGGGUAUCAAACA
rnacentral:rRNA from 1 species